CCUACGGGUGGCAGCAGUGAGGAAUAUUGGUCAAUGGACGAGAGUCUGAACCAGCCAAGUAGCGUGAAGGAUGACUGCCCUAUGGGUUGUAAACUUCUUUUAUAUGGGAAUAAAAUGUUCCAAGUGUGGGAUUUUGUAUGUACCAUAUGAAUAAGGAUCGGCUAACUCCGUGCCAGCAGCCGCGGUAAUACGGAGGCGCCGAGCGUUAUCCGGAUUUAUUGGGUUUAAAGGGAGCGUAGGUGGAUUGUUAAGUCAGUUGUGAAAGUUUGCGGCUCAACCGUAAAAUUGCAGUUGAAACUGGCAGUCUUGAGUACAGUAGAGGUGGGCGGAAUUCGUGGUGUAGCGGUGAAAUGCUUAGAUAUCGCGAAGAACUCCGAUUGCGAAGGCAGUUCACUGGACUGCAACUGACACUGAGGCUCGAAGGUGUGGGUAUCAAACGGGAUUAGAUACCCGUGUAGUC
rnacentral:rRNA from 1 species